rnacentral:lncRNA from 1 species
GGGAGGAGGGGAGGAACCUGAUCCUCGGUAGCGAAGGGCUGGAGGCAAACACCGAGCUCCCCCUGAGCCGCCUGGGAGCAGGGAGGGUUCUGCUACCCUGAGGGGCCCUCCCCGCGGGGCAGAGGAGGCUGUUGGGAAGGUGGGAUGACCUAGGAUUGACCUUGGACUUGACAUCACAGAAGCCAUUUCAACCUUCACAGGGUUUCCUCAGCAGUGCCCCGGAGCAGGGACCGCGCCAGCCAGCAGAAACAGCUAGUUGUUGUCUGCAGUGAAGAAUAAUUGGAAGCAUGGUGCCUGUUUCUUUUCCUAGGAGUGUUCCACUGACUGACCUCUUUUUGUUUUCAAAUGAAGAGGAGCCAAGAAUAGGACAGCUUGGGAAGCUCAUCCUCGUCUACGGCCAAACGUUGGUUUCUCAUUUCUAGAAGAUGAAAGAUGUGAUGACUCAGGAAAAACUGGAAUCUUAGUAACUGUGGUGGGCAUUGAGCCUUGCCGUCCACAAGAGAAAGCUUGCUGCUCGAGAUGUGAGUCUUCAGAUGUUCCUGCCGCCAUAUCUGACAGCUGCUGCCAAGAUUCCCUGGUGGGAUGGACUCUUAUACCUCAACAACCAGAAGCCCAAGUAAACUCUUCUAUAAAUUGAAUGACUCAUGCUUAAAAAAAAAAACAAAAAACAAA